GCAGAGAAUGUUGCAAUCUGAUGUCUCUCUGGAAGGCAACCCUUGCUCGGAUUUCGUCUACCUUGAUGUCAAGAGACUGGACAUUGGCAAUUAGUGUACUCGGGAGCAGUGGGCGAUGUGCCCGUCUACGGAGUCUGACCAGAAGACCGCUCCGUCUGCCCCUUCUGCGGCACCAUUGUUUUGGGUUGCCUGCUAGGAUCCGAUCCAUUGUCCUGGGUGGUGGACCAAACAGAGGAUCCACUUCGGGAAAGUCGUAUUCCUGGUCGUAAUGUUGAAAGCUGACCUGGCUGUAGCUGGACACACCAUCUCAGAGAGAGAGAGAGAAGGUCAUUGACUUCUCCAAACCCUUCAUAACCCUGGGCAUCAGCAUAAUGUACACAGCACAUAUGGUGAGACACAAGCACGCACACAUGCAUAGAGAACUGGUCAAACAAUGGUCACCGACUUUAGUCCAUGAUUAGAUUGGAUGAAGAGCUUAGGUCAGUUUUACAUUCUUCUCCAUAAUGUUAACGGUUUAGGAUUGGGGAUGCCAAGCUGAUCCUAGAUAUGUGCAUAUGGGCAAUUUCUCUACUGUAAUCUGUCUAGUGAGUCAAUGAAAGAUGCCAAAUAUGACUGCACAGUUCUUUGGUGAAACCAGACAACAAAAUAUGUUUAUUAUAGAUACAUGCACAUCAGAUAUAGAAAUUCAUUUUCAACCAUCUUGGAAAUUUAAGAAAUCUAAACUUCAUUGAUAUACUGUAGUUUAUCAAGGUAAUUGAGUGUCUUUGAUAGAGGUUAGGCACUCAAACCUGGUGAGUGUACCCAUAUCAAUGAGAGAAUAACGCUUUCCUGGAAACUAUUGAAUCUCCAUGGUAAUUCUUUAUAGCCUGGUGGAUCAAGAAUGAACACUACUUUCACUAUUUUUUUCACUCCGCUUAUCAGUCUGUCUUCAAACCAAUAGAUAGGCGACGUGAUUUAAUUUUUCAGGUCCAGGCUAAAUGAUUUAUGCUCUGGCUUCUUUAGACCCGUCGACCAGGCUACUGGUCCUUCUUAGACCCCUUCUCUCCAGGCGUAAGGCCAGCAGAAUGCAGAGCCAAUCUGAUUGUCAGCUGUGUGCUCUUCCUAGUGGCCAGGUGAAUGUGCAGAUUGACACAGACGACUACUGGCGGUGCUGUGGACUGUAACAGGUAUUCUAUUCUGAAGCUGCGUUCUAAUUUCCACGCUAUAAUUUUUGGGGUGACCUGUUUGGUAGGCACAAACUGGAGAAAAUUAUUUUGAAAACGUCAUAUUAAAAGGAGCAUACUUAUUGGUUAAGAUCAGAUUGUAGCUUUCCUCCCCCGUUUUCAAAUAUUUGAUUCCUGUUGUGUUCCUAUUCAACACAACCCUAGUUGUACGCUUUCAUUUUCCCUAUAAUGAGCACCCGGUUUUCAUUCUCCUGGCUGUAUAAGUGGUUCAGUACUGAGCCAUGCCUGCGGGGGCGCUCUAAGCUGGUUCUGAACCAGUACACUCUGGGGAACAGUCUGUGGUUCCUUGUAGGGGCGGUUCAAGCAGCAAGGCUCAGCCAUGCCCUGUCCACACGCUGUCUGGUGAAUAGACUACACAAUAAUCCCCUAUAUAGGGACUACAUCAAAACUGUUCGCUGCUCUGGCCCCCCAAUGGUGGAACAAACUCCCUCACGACGCCAGGACAGCGGAGUCAAUCACCACCUUCCGGAGACACCUGAAACCCCACCUCUUCAAGGAAUACCUAGGAUAGGGUGGUUUUUCACACUGAUCAUAGUGUCCUCCAACACGGCCAACCUGGCCACCUUCCUCACUGUCCAGAGGAUGGAGGCUCCCAUUGAGAAAGCGCACGACCUGGCAGACCAGACCAACAGAGUAUGGCACCAUGCAGGGAGGCUCAACCAUGGCCUUCUUUCAGAACUCGCGGUACCAAACCUACCAGCGCAUGUGGAACUUCAUUCACACCAAUUAACCCAGUGUGUUUGUGAAGAGCACGGAGGAAGGCUUCGACCGGGUGCUCAACUCCAACUACCUGCUGGAGAGCACCAUGAAUGAGUACUACCGCCAGCGCAACUGUAACCUCACCCAGAUAGGAGGCCUGCUGGACACCAAGAGCUACGGCAUUGGCAUGCCACAAGCUCUCCUUGUGUACAGAGAUGCUGAGGGUUCUCCAUGGGAUCCAGCUGUGUGAGGACAGUAAUGGCACUGUGUGGUUUACGAGGCCCAGGGACAUUACUACAGACACUUCCAGAGGAGCGCAGGCCCGGGACAGCCGCUUGCACCCUCAGUAAUGGCAUGUGUGGAAUGGGCAACAGUAGCAGUAGUCCUAUGGCACCUCUGUUUCAGACGGGUACGGGAAGCCAUUUUGGCUCCGCGUGUCUGUGCUCAGGUCCACAUAAGCCCAGGGGAUAUAAAGGACUGCAGGUGCAACCACCACUACCCAGAGAACACUCACCAGAUCUCAGAGGAGAAUGUGUAGGUAGGGUGGUCAGAGACCUCAGUGGAUAUUUGUGAACC